rnacentral:tRNA from 1 species
AUAAAGGUAGCUUAGAAUUAAAGCAUUGAUUUUGUAAUUCAAAGACCGU